rnacentral:rRNA from 1 species
GGUGAACGCUGGCGGCGUGCUUAAGACAUGCAAGUCGAACGGCAGUCUUCGGACUGUAGUGGCGCACGGGUGAGUAACGCGUAACUGACCUACCCCAAAGUCGCGGAUAACGAUUCGAAAGAAUCGCUAAUACGUGAUGUGCUGUCAGAUUGUGUUCUGCCAGUAAAGAUUGAUUGCUUUGGGAUGGGGUUGCGUUCCAUCAGCUAGUUAGUGGGGUAAAGGCCCACCAAGGCGACGACGGAUAGCCGGCCUGAGAGGGUGGCCGGCCACAGGGGCACUGAGACACGGGUCCCACUCCUACGGGAGGCAGCAGUUAGGAAUCUUCCACAAUGGGCGAAAGCCUGAUGGAGCGACGCCGCGUGAGGGAUGAAGGUCUUCGGAUCGUAAACCUCUGAAUCAGGGACGAAAGACACUUCGGUGGGAUGACGGUACCUGAGUAAUAGCACCGGCUAACUCCGUGCCAGCAGCCGCCGUAA